UACGGAGGGGGGGGUUAGCGUUGUUCGGAAUUACUGGGCGUAAAGCGUACGUAGGCGGAUCAGAAAGUUGGGGGGGUGAAAUCCCGGGGCUCAACCCCGGAACUGCCUCCAAAACUCCUGGUCUUGAGUUCGAGAGAGGUGAGUGGAAUUCCAAGUGUAGAGGUGAAAUUCGUAGAUAUUUGGAGGAACACCAGUGGCGAAGGCGGCUCACUGGCUCGAUACUGACGCGUGAGUACGAAAGUGUGGGAGCAAACAGAUUCAGAUACCCCGGUAGUCC
rnacentral:rRNA from 1 species